rnacentral:rRNA from 1 species
AUUGAACGCUGGCGGCAUGCUUUACACAUGCAAGUCGAACGGUAACAGGGAGCUUGCUCCGCUGACGAGUGACGAACGGGUGAGUAAUGCGUCGGAACGUGCCGAGUAGUGGGGGAUAACGCAUCGAAAGGUGUGCUACUACCGAAUACGUACUGAGGUAGAAAGUGGGGGACCUUCGGGCCUCACGCUAUUCGAUCGGCCGACGUCUGAUUGACUAGUUGGUGAGGUAAAGGCUCACCAAGGCGGCGAUCAGUAGCGGGUCUGAGAGGAUGGUCCGCCGCACUGGGACUGCGACACGGCCCAGACUCCUACGGGAGGCAGCAGUGGGGAAUUUUGGACAAUGGGCGCAAGCCUGAUCCAGCCAUGCCGCGUGUCUGAAGAAGGCCUUCGGGUUGUAAAGGACUUUUGUCCGGGAGCAAAUGCUGGUGGCUAACAUCCACCGGAGCUGAGAGUACCGGAAGAAUAAGCACCGGCUAACUACGUGCCAGCAGCCGCAGUAAAAC